rnacentral:rRNA from 1 species
GACGUAGGAGGCGAGCGUUGUCCGGAAUUACUGGGCGUAAAGAGCGCGUAGGCGGCCUUGAAACGUGUGGGAUGAAAGCCCCCUGCUCAACGGGGGGAGGUUUCCACAAACGGGGAGGCUCGGUGGAGUGUGGAGGGGGAGUGCGGAACGGCCGGUGGAGCGGUGAAAUGCGUAGAGAUCGGCCAGAACACCAGUGGCGAAGGCGGCACUCUGGGCCACAACUGACGCUGAGGCGCGAAAGCGUGGGGAGCGAACGGA